GCCGGGGGUCGUGGCGGGCCCUUGUGACCCAGCGAGUAGGGGGCGAAGGCGGACGGUGGGCGGGCGUGCGCCGACCGAGUGUCGUGACCAAGGGCCGCGUCGGUAGGGACGGCCCGGGGGAGCCGGGGCCGCCCCGGGCGCAUAAUGAGGAGAGCAACGGCUCAGGCCCGCAAGGGAGCAGGCAAAAUCUCCCGCGCGGUCACAGUGGCUCCGAUAGCACUCGCGAGCACGUUACCCAAACGCCCAUCGCCAAGCUUUUU
rfam:Globodera pallida, Lindley, WGS project CBXT01000000 data, contig: pathogens_Gpal_scaffold_181_contig_17